rnacentral:lncRNA from 1 species
CCAAAUAAAUGCCAUUGUUGACCAGGAACUGGAAUGCUGCCUUUGUAAUGCUAGCCCAACACAUUUUCCAUUAUGCAACUCUGCUUCUCAGCUUACUCUCUGCCAGGAGAGUUUCCAAAUUAUGCUUCAGUUUUUGAAGCCCUGAUGUGGUUUUCUUGUGAUGACACUUUUGCAAAGAAAGUUCAGCAGGAAUGUGUGACUUGAAACCAUUUGUUCUGGGUUUCUGUUUCCCCGACGCUCCUCCUCCAGGCAACAGGAGACAUGUGGUGUUCCCUAUUUGAAUAGUUUGUCAGCAGAAAUGAUCAGGUUACACCUGUUUAGGUUACAUACUGCCUAGGAAACCGCUGGAGCUCUUUCUCAAGACUAGGGGCCAUAAAACUCUGUUUCUGAGGAAAUUAAACAUUAAUUUUAAUGGUACCAGAAAAAAACUGCUGUGUUCUCUGACAACCAUCUGCUGCUGUACAGUACAGACAAAAGUGGUAGGAUCAAGACAGAAUGGUCAAAGAUUGACUGUCUACCUGGCAAAUAAACAAGUGGUAAUGAUAAUGGUGGUGGUGGGGAGAGAAGUAAGAACAGGAGUAAGAACAGCUGGCAGUAACAGUGUGCCUCA